rnacentral:rRNA from 1 species
UUGAACGCUGGCGGCAGGCCUAACACAUGCAAGUCGAGCGGCAGCGCGGGGCAACCUGGCGGCGAGCGGCGGACGGGUGAGUAACGCGUAGGAAUCCACCCAGUAGCGGGGGGUAGCACGGGGAAACUCGGAUUAAUACCGCAUACGCCCUAAGGGGGAAAGCAGGGGAUCGUAAGACCUUGCACUUUUGGAAGAGCCUGCGUUGGAUUAGCUAGUUGGUAGGGUAAAGGCCUACCAAGGCGACGAUCCAUAACUGGUCUGAGAGGAUGAUCAGUCACACCGGAACUGAGACACGGUCCGGACUCCUACGGGAGGCAGCAGUGGGGAAUAUUGGACAAUGGGGGCAACCCUGAUCCAGCCAUGCCGCGUGUGUGAAGAAGGCCUUCGGGUUGUAAAGCACUUUAAGUGGGGAGAAAGGUUCGGCAGCUAAUACCUGCCGGAAGUGAUGUUACCCACAGAAUAAGCACCGGCUAACUCUGUGCCAGCCGCCGCCGUAA